rnacentral:rRNA from 1 species
GACGAACGCUGGCGGCGUGCUUCAGACAUGCAAGUCGAGCGGGCGAGGUCGAACCGCAAGGGAGGCUGAAGCUAGCGGCGAACGGGUGAGUAACACGUGGGUAAUCUACCCGGAAGACUGGGAUAACGGCCCGAAAGGGCCGCUAAUACCGGAUAAUAUCGCGGUCUCGCAUGAGGCUGCGAAGAAAGGCGAAAGCCACUUUCGGAUGAGCCCGCGACCCAUCAGCUAGUUGGUGAGGUAACGGCUCACCAAGGCGACGACGGGUAGCCGGUCUGAGAGGAUGGUCGGCCACACUGGGACUGAGAUACGGCCCAGACUCCUACGGGAGGCAGCAGUCGGGAAUAUUGGGCAAUGGGCGAAAGCCUGACCCAGCGACGCCGCGUGAGGGAAGAAGGCCUUCGGGUCGUAAACCUCUGUCAUCGGGGACGAAGGAAGUGACGGUACCCGAGGAGGAAGCCCCUGCUAACUACGUG